GUGGGGAAUAUUGCACAAUGGGGGAAACCCUGAUGCAGCGACGCCGCGUGAAGGAAGAAGUAUUUCGGUAUGUAAACUUCUAUCAGCAGGGAAGAAAGAAGACGGUACCUGACUAAGAAGCUCCGGCUAAAUACGUGCCAGCAGCCGCGGUAAUACGUAUGGAGCAAGCGUUAUCCGGAAUUACUGGGUGUAAAGGGUGCGCAGGUGGCAUGGUAAGUCAGAAGUGAAAACCCGGGGCUCAACCCCGCGGACUGCUUUUGAAACUAUCAGGCUGGAGUCCGGGAGAGGUAAGCGGAAUUCCUAGUGUAGCGGUGAAAUGCGUAGAUAUUAGGAGGAACACCAGUGGCGAAGGCGGCUUACUGGACCGGGACUGACACUGAGGCACGAAAGCGUGGGGAGCAAACAGGA
rnacentral:rRNA from 1 species